UGAGUAACCUGCCCUUGACUCUGGGAUAAGCACUGGAAACGGUGUCUAAUGCCGGAUAUGACAGCCGAUCGCAUGGUCUGGUUGUGGAAAGUAUUUUUUGGUCAAGGAUGGACUCGCGGCCUAUCAGCUAGUUGGUGAGGUAAUGGCUCACCAAGGCGACGACGGGUAGCCGGCCUGAGAGGGUGACCGGCCACACUGGGACUGAGACACGGCCCAGCUCCGUAGGAGG
rnacentral:rRNA from 1 species